GAUGAACGCUGGCGGCGUGCCUAAUACAUGCAAGUCGAGCGAAGCGGGGACGGGUGAGUAACACGUGGAUAACCUCCUCUAAGACUGGGAUUACUUCGUGAAACCGGUGCUAACCCUGCUACUUAUCUCUGGUUCUCCUCUGCAUUAGCUAGUUGGGAAGGUAACGGCUUACCAAGGCAACGAGGCAUAGCCGAGCUGAGAGGGUGAUCGGCCACACUGGAACUGAGACACGGUCCAGACUCCUACGGGAGGCAGCAGUAGGGAAUCGUCCGCAAGGGGCGAAAGCCUGACGGAGCAACGCCGCGUGAGUGAUGAAGGGCUUAGGAGCGUAAAACUCUGUUAGUAGGGAAGCGGUACCUAAUCAGAAAGCCACGGCUAACUACGUGCCAGCAGCCGCGGUAAUAC
rnacentral:rRNA from 1 species